rnacentral:rRNA from 1 species
AAGUCGAGCGGUAGAGAGAAGCUUGCUUCUCUUGAGAGCGGCGGACGGGUGAGUAAUGCCUAGGAAUCUGCCUGGUAGUGGGGGAUAACGUUCGGAAACGGACGCUAAUACCGCAUACGUCCUACGGGAGAAAGCAGGGGACCUUCGGGCCUUGCGCUAUCAGAUGAGCCUAGGUCGGAUUAGCUAGUUGGUGGGGUAAUGGCUCACCAAGGCGACGAUCCGUAACUGGUCUGAGAGGAUGAUCAGUCACACUGGAACUGAGACACGGUCCAGACUCCUACGGGAGGCAGCAGUGGGGAAUAUUGGACAAUGGGCGAAAGCCUGAUCCAGCCAUGCCGCGUGUGUGAAGAAGGUCUUCGGAUUGUAAAGCACUUUAAGUUGGGAGGAAGGGUUGUAGAUUAAUACUCUGCAAUUUUGACGUUACCGACAGAAUAAGCACCGGCUAACUCUGUGCCAGCAGCCGCGGUAAUACAGAGGGUGCAAGCGUUAAUCGGAAUUACUGGGCGUAAAGCGCGCGUAGGUGGUUUGUUAAGUUGGAUGUGAAAUCCCCGGGCUCAACCUGGGAACUGCAUUCAAAACUGACUGACUAGAGUAUGGUAAAGGGUGGUGGAAUUUCCUGUGUAGCGGUGAAAUGCGUAGAUAUAGGAAGGAACACCAGUGGCGAAGGCGACCACCUGGACUAAUACUGACACUGAGGUGCGAAAGCGUGGGGAGCAAACAGGAUUAGAUACCCUGGUAGUCCACGCCGUAAACGAUGUCAACUAGCCGUUGGAAGCCUUGAGCUUUUAGUGGCGCAGCUAACGCAUUAAGUUGACCGCCUGGGGAGUACGGCCGCAAGGUUAAAACUCAAAUGAAUUGACGGGGGCCCGCACAAGCG